rnacentral:rRNA from 1 species
GACCUCGGAUCAGGUAGGAAUACCCGCUGAACUUAAGCAUAUCAAUAAGCGGAGGAAGAAA